UACGGAGGGGGCGAGCGUUAUUCGGAAUUAUUGGGCGUAAAGGGCGCGUAGGCGGCUGUACAAGUCAAAGGUGAAAUCCCUCGGCUCAACUGAGGAACUGCCUUUGAAACUGUACGGCUUGAGGCCGGGAGGGGGUAGCGGAAUUCCCAGUGUAGCGGUGAAAUGCGUAGAUACUGGGAGGAACACCAGUGGCGAAGGCGGCUUCCUGGCCUGUAACUGACGCUGAGACGCGAAUGCGUGGGGAGCGAACCGG
rnacentral:rRNA from 1 species